AGGGGAUGGGACGAGAGAAGGAGAGAGGGAUGAAAUGAGGGAAGGAGAGUGGGAUGGGGUGAGAGGGAUGAAAGGAGGGAAGGAGAGUGGGAUGGGGUGAGAGAAGGAGAGAGGGAUGGGGUGAGAGAGGGAGGGAAGGAAGGAGAGAGGGAUGAAAGGAGGGAAGGAGAGGGAUGAAAUGAGGGAAGGAGAGAGGCACAUCUUUAGCUGUGUAAAUAGCCCUAUCAUCUGUCUCACAGCAGAGUUGAGCUUUUUGGUCUCACAGUUACAUGAACAGCUGGAAAAAGGGGUUGAGGUGUGUGAGUUUUAGAAAAUGUAAAAGUGUAUGUGUGGGUUGGGGUUUUAGGGAGAACUAUGACGUCAACACACCAUGUUUUUAGAAUCAGAAUUGUACCCAUUUUUUCAUACCAUUUCUCCUUUUUGACACAGUUCUUAUUUUUCAUCUUUCCAUUUGUAUCAGACAGGUUUUCAGUUCAGUCUUUUUCGUUUCCCAAGUACUAUGUUUCUCCUUCCUUAUUCACCUUUUACAGUACGAGCGUUUACAAGCCGCUCUCAGAUGGAUUGAGUUUGCAUUUGUUUACUUUUCUCUCCCAUCUACCGACCGUUUGCACCUUUGUUAUACUAACUAAUGCCUCUGUCCACCAUUUUGUUUCUGUUGAUAGAAAAAAAAAAAGGAUCGCUUUAGCAUGCAAGUAAUGAGCCAAGCCCGACCUGUGACCUGUGAACAAAGAUCCUAUUAGAAAUGGUUCUUCUAUAAUGGAGUUGCUUUCAGAUGUGUUGCUAAUCAGUGUGAAUUCACAAAAUAAAACUGUAUUUUAAGAAACGGAAGCUUUAUUUUUCAUUUCCAUGUCUUGUUAAACUGUUUGAAGUGGCGGACUCCUUUUAUGGAGUCAUUUUAGUGCCAAGAGAUUUAAUUCUGAUUCGAUUUAUUUUGGCGCAAAAAUCAACCCGUCAUCACCUACAAUCCACGUUCAUGAACACUCGUAUCAUUCUUCCAACUGUCUUUAUGUUGAACAUAAUCCAUCCACAAUCAUUUUAAGUUGAACUCGUAAACAAAAAGAUCCAGCACAUGGGGGGACGCAAUCAAAUAUAUUGGUUUCUGAACGUUGUUUCUCCGUGUACUGAUAUUAUCCUGUAAAUACAAAACCAGUAUACACACGUAUUAUGCAGGUUUCAAUGAUAUAUAGAGAACAUUGUCCAUAUGAAAGAUGAGCAACUGUCAAAUUAUGCAAAAUCACCUUCGGUGUAAAACCUGGAGGCCAGAAGCAGAUGUCCAGACAUUAUACUGAGACGUAGUGGAGGUGAUGGAGAAGCUACUGAACAAAUAUUACGUUUCAAUCAACCAACCAACCAUUAUAUAGCACAGAGCAGGUGACAUAUAUUUUGUAAUAUAUAUAUAUAUAUGUAUGUAUGUAUUGAUAAUGCACAGGAUAACUUCCAUAUGGCUGCAUGUAUGUUGUUGCUUGGCUGUGUGUGAAAGAGAGGGGGAGUGUGUGACGAUAGCAAAGGCACAAAUAGGACCUCUUGAAAAGGACCUAAACCACCAUGAUAUUCCUUCUCUGACACGCCUAGUUGUAUGUGUAUCUGUCACAUGUAAUGUGUACGCAUCACCUCCAAAGAGACGUGACCAAACCUUCUGGAACUGAACCGAAUCAAUCCACGAGCUCGUUUCAUGCUGAUGUUAACCAAUUACAGUGCACAGCGUUGACGCAAAAUGCCGACUUUAUUGCACGGUAAACAUGGGACUGUUAGUGGAGUUGUUGGGGGGGGGCUGUGCCGUUGUGCCUUGACUGCAUUUUUCCUCUUUGCAAAUAAAUAAAAUCUAAAAUACACAUGCAACUCACCAUGACUUCGUGCUUCCUAAAUCCCACUGGGAGUGUGUGGGGGAGGGGAGAGUGGCUAAGACUUAGUGGAGGACAGCAACAUUACCCGUUCUCCUCUCACCCUCUUCCCUUAAGUGGUCCCUUCUGUGAUUUGUGGACAGAAAUCAUUGCAUUGAACUCUGACCCUGAUGUUAAUGAGUGUGAUUUGAUAAUGCCACUGUGUUGAGUAAAUGUAGACUUUGCUACACUG
ensembl:lncRNA